rnacentral:rRNA from 1 species
AUAGGGCACCACAAGAACGCGUGGAGCAUGUGGCUUAAUUUGACUCAACCCGGGAAAUCUUACCAGGUCCAGACAUAUUGAGGAUUGACAGGCGAUAGUAUAUAAAAUAUAUUUUUAUAUGCAUAAAAAUGAUAGUCCUUUCAUGAUUAUAUGAUAGGUGGUGCAUGGCCGUUCUUAGUUCGUGGAGUGAUUUGUCUGCUUAAUUGCGUUUCAGUAAAUAAAAUAUAUAAUAUAUUAUAAUAUUUAGUUCUGCCAUUUAUUUAUGGAUUUAAAGUGAACAUAUUAUAUAUAUUAUUAUAUAAUAAAUGAAUGCAACGAACGUGACCGUAACCUUUUAUUGCUAUUGAAAAUUAUAAUUAUAGCAUAAAAUUAAAGGAACCGCUGUCAUUACUAAAUAUGUGUUAAAAUAGAGUAAGAUUAUGGCAAUAACAGGUCUGUGAUGCCCUCAGAUGUUCUGGGCUGCACACGUGCUACAAUAAUUACAUUAAUAAGUAUAUAUACUUUAUAAUAUAUAAUAUUAUAUUACAACCUAUUUCGAAAGUAAAUCGGUAAUCAUUUAAAAAUCGUGAUUAAUUAAUAUAAAUAUAAUUAAUUUAAUGUGGGGAUAGUGUAUUGUUAAUUAUUACACUUGGCCUUAACUAGGAAUGCCUUGUACUCUUCUUUGGUUUAACAUACCAAGAGGAAUACGUCCCUGCCCUUUGUACACACCGCCCGUCGCUCUUACCGAUGAAUUAUAUUAUAAAUCUAAGGGAUUUAUUAUAAUUAAAAUAUAAAAAACUUAUAUACAUAAUGUGAUUUAAAGGAAAGAGAAGUCGAACAAGGCA